AUUGAACGCUGGCGGCAUGCUUUACACAUGCAAGUCGAACGGUAACAGGCGUUCGGGUGCUGACGAGUGGCGAACGGGUGAGUAAUGCAUCGGAACGUACCCAGAGGUGGGGGAUAACGCAGCGAAAGCUGUGCUAAUACCGCAUGUGAUCUGAGGAUGAAAGCGGGGGACCGAGCAGCAAUGUUUGGCCUCGCGCCUUUGGAGCGGCCGAUGUCGGAUUAGCUAGUUGGUGGGGUAAAGGCCUACCAAGGCGACGAUCCGUAGCUGGUCUGAGAGGACGACCAGCCACACUGGGACUGAGACACGGCCCAGACUCCUACGGGAGGCAGCAGUGGGGAAUUUUGGACAAUGGGCGCAAGCCUGAUCCAGCAAUGCCGCGUGCGGGAAGAAGGCCUUCGGGUUGUAAACCGCUUUUGGCAGGAACGAAACGGUGUCCGCUAAUACCGGGCGCUAAUGACGGUACCUGCAGAAUAAGCACCGGCUAACUACGUG
rnacentral:rRNA from 1 species